rnacentral:tmRNA from 1 species
GGGGACGCAGGGUUUCGACAGGGGGAUCUGUGACUGCCAUUGCAAGCCGAGGUGCCGGUAACCGUCUCGUAAAUCAACCGGCAAAAAAGUAACUGGCGAACCCAGCUACGCUCUCGCUGCCUAACUAGGCGGCGACGUUGCACCUAGCCUCCUCCCGAUGGGUUGGGCUGCAGCGACACUUUAUCGGGAUGCUGCGGAGGGGACGCCGAUACCCGAAGCCUAAGACCUUUCGGCUGGCACGGCCCUACGCUGCCGGUGGUGGCGGGCCAGUGCGAGAAACCAAAUCACCGGAGAAGCUUGUGGGAUAUGCUGCGCAGUCCUUUCUGGACGGGGGGUUCAACUCCCCCCCGUCUCCACCA